UCAGUUGGUACAUUUUAGUAAUGUGUACCGGGUUUCAGUAGACAAAAAUACCCUUAUAUAAUGAAUUCUAAGUUUUAAAGUUAAGGGUAUUUUAAUAAUUUUCAUUCUCAAAAUUAAAAAAUAAAAAAAGAAACUCCCUAAACCCUUACCCACCUCUCUCAUCCCUCUCAACCCUUUCUCUUUCAUCUCUUUCACUCCAACCUUUUNUUUUCUCUGUCAUCCUUACUCUAGCCUCAAUUGAAAAAAAAAUCAGAAAUACUUGCCUUACUUUAAUAAUUUUCAUUCUCAAAACUAAAAAAAGAAACCCCAAACCCUUACUCAUCUCCUUCAUCCCUCUCAAUCCUUUCUCCUUCAUCUCUCUCUUACUCAAACAUUUUCUCUGUCAUAUCUGCAAUAGCCCCAACUAAAAAAACACUCAUUAUUAAAUAAAAUGGUUAGAGAAAAAAA
rnacentral:lncRNA from 1 species